rnacentral:rRNA from 1 species
UACAGGGGGUGCAAGCGUUACUCGGAAUUAUUGGGCGUAAAGAGCGCGUAGGCGGCUUGGUAAGUCUGAUGUGAAAGCCCCGGACUCAAUUCGGGAAGUGCAUCGGAUACUGCCAGGCUGGAGUACUGGAGAGGAGAGUGGAAUUCCAGGUGUAGAGGUGAAAUUCGUAGAUAUCUGGAGGAACAACAGAGGCGAAGGCGGCUCUCUGGACAGUCACUGACGCUGAGGCGCGAAAGCGUGGGGAGCAAACAGG